AACGCACCUUGCGCCUUUUGGUAUUCCGAAAGGCAUGCCUGUUUGAGUGUCAUGUAAUCUCAACCCCUCAGGUUUCUGACCUGGGGAGGUUGGACUUGGGUGCUGCCGAUCGGCUCACCUCAAAAGCGUCAGUGGGAUAAGCACCGGUUGGACGUAAUAAGUUUCGUCAAGCCCUGGUGUGAUGCCUGCUCACAACCCCCAUCUUUUAGCUUGACCUCAAAUCAGGUAGGACUACCCGCUGAACUUAA
rnacentral:misc_RNA from 1 species